rnacentral:lncRNA from 1 species
UUCACAAUAAGUGUUUUAUUAAUUAGUAGAAAUAACCAGAGUAGGACAUUACAUAUCUCGAAGUCCUAUAUUUUACACUUUAUACAUUGCAUGGUCAGAUACUUGAGUGACUUAGUACCACAUAGAGUUCCUAUCAAGGUCUAAAAUAUCGAUGAUAUCGAAAAUAUCGGGAUAAUAUCGAUAUUUUAGACCUUGACUGUAAUUGACAUACCACUAGUAUUGCCAAACUUGACUUUCCUUUCUAACCAGUCACUAAAAGUCAAUAUAUGUCAUCUUUCUAAAAGGCUUUCAUUAUUCAAAGGGUGUCUAUAUGAAUGCUUAAGCUCUUCUCAGUGCAUUCUGAUACAAAAGACAGGAGCAUGCAGUUAGAUUUGAUUAAUUUCAUGCCAUAUAAAGUUAUAUGUUUUGUGUGUGUGUGUGUACAUGUAUUACAUAAAUUCUUAAGUUAUUCUUACGCUUUGUAUGGUUGAACUUCUGCUAUAUUUAAUAAUACACAAUGAUGAGCGAUCUCCAACAUGUCACAAUCCAUGGCCUUCAACCUUCCCGCUAAAAUGGGUCUUCCUUUAGUUGCUAUUUUAAAUUCAGAUUCCUCAUUUCGAAUUUGUCGAUCACCCACUCCAGUAGUUUCUUUUAUGUACCCAACUACAAUGCUUAGAGUUUUCUUCACUAGCAUAACUUUCUAUUAUUUGGUUAUCGGAGGGAAUCAACCCCUAAACUUAAGCUUUUGAUAAGAAGCUACGAUCAUGUUAAUAAUUCUUAACUAGAAAGGCCAGAUAAAUGAGGCACUGGAAUGAGGUGUUCUUGGUUGUCCCAUUUUAGUAAUGGAAAACCAAAGCCAAGAAAUAAAAAUAGGUGAAAGAGCUAGGGUUUAUAGAAAAUCAAUCUCAUGCAUCAAAGUAUUCAAGGGCGGACCGGAUAAUUCUCCUGCAAAAUAC